rnacentral:rRNA from 1 species
CGUAGGAGGCAAGCGUUAUCCGGAUUCACUGGGCGUAAAGCGCGUGCAGGUGGCGCGGUAAGUUGGGCGUGAAAUCUCCCGGCUCAACUGGGAGAGGUCGUUCAAUACUACCGUGCUCGAGAGCAGAAGAGGAAGAUGGAAUUCCCGGUGUAGUGGUGAAAUGCGUAGAUAUCGGGAGGAACACCAGUGGCGAAGGCGAUCUUCUGGUCUGUUUCUGACACUCAGACGCGACAGCUAGGGUAGUAAACGGGAUUAGGAGACCCCGGUAAUCCUAGCCGUAAACGAUGUGAACUUGGCGUUGGUGGGUUAAACUCCAUCAGUGCCGUAGCAAACGCGAUAAGUUCACCGCCUGGGGACUACGGCCGCAAGGUUA